GACGAACGCUGGCGGCGUGCUUAACACAUGCAAGUCGAACGGAAAGGCCCUGCUUUUGUGGGGUGCUCGAGUGGCGAACGGGUGAGUAACACGUGAGUAACCUGCCCUUGAUUGUGGGAUAACUUCAGGAAAGUGGGGCUAAUACCGGAUAGGAGCUCCUGCGGCAUGGUGGGGGUUGGAAAGUUUCGGCGGUUGGGGAUGGACUCGCGGCUUAUCAGCUGGUUGGUGGGGUAGUGGCUUACCAAGGCUUUGACGGGUAGCCGGCCUGAGAGGGUGACCGGCAAAUUUGGGCCUGGGAUCCGGCCCGGCCUCCUCCGGGAGGCAGCAGUGGGGAAUUUUGCCCAAUGGGCGGAAGCCUGAUCCGGCAACGCCGCGUGCGGGAUGCCGGCCUUCGGGUUGUAAACCGCUUUCGCCUGUGACGAAGCGUGAGUGACGGUAAUGGGUAAAGAAGCACCGGCUAACUACGUG
rnacentral:rRNA from 1 species